rnacentral:sRNA from 1 species
CUGGUCUCAGAGAACCAGAGCUUGGCAGGCCCCCUCAUACACCUCUUGGAGAGGUCGAUGCUGGUCAACUAUGCACCAUUACCUGUGAGCAGAGCUUACUCCUCUGCCAUUCUCUCUCCAGGCCCUCAGCAUCCUCAUGCUCCCUCACAACAUCCCGUCCAGCCUGAGCCUGCUCACCAGCAUGGUGGAUGACAUGUGGCAUUACGCUGGGGACCAGUCCACUGAUUUGAACUGGUACACCCGCCGAGCCAUGCUGGCUGCCAUCUACAACACGACAGAGCUGGUGAUGAUGCAGGACUCCUCUCCAGACUUUGAGGACACUUGGCGCUUCCUGGAAAACCGGGUUAAUGAUGCAAUGAACAUGGGCCACACUGCCAAGCAGGUAAAGUCCACAGGAGAGGCACUGGUGCAAGGACUCAUGGGUGCAGCAGUGACGCUCAAGAACUUGACAGGUCUAAACCAGCGUCGGUGAGAGGAAGGGGUGUAAGCUACAAUGCCUAGAAGAGAAUGAGCGGACAGAUUGAAAGAGCUUUGAAAAGUAUAAGGUGCCAUCCACAUAACCUGGUGUUCACGAGAACACGCUAAAGGACUCCUGAGUCACUACCACAGCCACCUGGAAACCACGAGGCAUUUGAUGCUACCGUUCUGGUCAGGGAUUGGGCUGCUUCUUCAGUUCCUAAUACCAGACCAAGCCUCCUGAUGCCUUUCUGCACUGCAACUGUGUGAUUGAAAAAUGAGAUGUUCAUCCAAGCAGUCAAGCCACAGAAACCCAGCAUGUCCCUGUCACAAUCUCAUGGGCACCUUGAUCAUGUCUUAACCUUCCCUUAACCUUGGGGCUCCCAAGCCAGAGUCAAGGUCUGACGCCACCUCAAGGUGACAGCUCAUCUCCAGCACAGCACAGGCGUGUGCACACAGAGGUGUUCCUUGCAGCCCCCUCCCUCUCAGGCGUCCUGAGAUGCUGCUCCUGGGAGCCCCCUCAGAAAACUGCCUCACCUGAGACAAGUGCCUGCUGGACAGAGGUGUGAUUCCAGGCCUGGUGUCACAUGACACCAGCAUGCAUUGCAGGAUUAUUAGUGUAUUUUGAGUCUGUAAAAAUAAUAAAUAUGUUUGAAGUAGUU